AAAAAAAAAACAUAGAAUUUUAAAUUCACACUCGAGGGCAAACACCAGAGGAUUUCCUGUGCGACUCACCUGAGCUCCUUGGACAUUCAACGAUCAUCAUAGAACCACAAGUCACAUCAAGUGCACCACGUCAGAAGAACAAACGAGAUGUGAUUUUCUGCUGUUUCCCUCUGACUUUACUGAGCUUGAAGUGAAGAAAGCACUGACCUGAAGGAGUCGAACAGCAUACUCAUUCAGGGAGCUGAUGACCUGGGUGCUACUGGGCCCCAGCUCUUCAGGAAGGGUCAGAGGUCGCACAUA